rnacentral:lncRNA from 1 species
GGGGGGGGGAGGCAGGGAAACGCUGCGGGGCGUCGAACGCCUUUACCGCUCACGUGCGGCGCUGAGAGGCGAGGGCUGGUGUCGUCGCUCGUCUCGUAGGGGCAGCCCUGGCACUGGGGCCGCGGCCAAGCACCAGGGGCCGCGGGGCGCGAAAUGGCGGCCUGGGGGCGGUCUCUGGAGCCGGGGCCGCGGGGCGCGAAAUGGCGGCGCUGGCUAGGCCUCGCGGACCUCGCCUGGGCGCGGAGCCGCAGCGGCGGCAGCUGUGUGAGCCCAGAUGUUUAUCACAGAAGCAAACAGAAAUGGAAGAAGGAAUGCGAACAUCAGAGAUGGAGAAGAUCUGGGAAAUUCCCUUGGUGUUCUGCUGUUUGCGGUGCUGUUCUGUCCUGCACAAUGGAGCUGCG